rnacentral:lncRNA from 12 species
GGUGUUAGAGGGACUGGUUUCAGUUUUGAAACUACAGAAGCCAGAGACAGGGAAAAAAACAGUGUUGUGCAAUACAAUGUAUGCUACAUAUGCAGAGUCAUAGAGGAAGAAAACAAUAAUACAUCACUCACAGUCUGCAGGGCAUUAAUGCUGAAUUUAGUCUGAUCUACCAG